rnacentral:rRNA from 1 species
AACUUAAGCAUAUCAAUAAGCGGAGGAAAAGAAACUAACAAGGAUUCCCCUAGUAACUGCGAGUGAAGCGGGAAAAGCUCAAAUUUAAAAUCUGUUGGCAUUGGCCAUCYGAGUUGUAAUCUAGAGAAGUGUUACCCGUGCUGGACCGUGUACAAGUCUCCUGGAAUGGAGCAUCACAGAGGGUGAGAAUCCCGUCUUUGACAUGGACUACCAGUGCUUUUGUGGUAUGCUCUCAAAGAGUCGAGUUGUUUGGGAAUGCAGCUCAAAAUGGGUGGUAAAUGCCAUCUAAAGCUAAAUAUUGGCGAGAGACCGAUAGCGAACAAGUACCGUGAGGGAAAGAUGAAAAGAACUUUGGAAAGAGAGUUAAACAGUACGUGAAAUUGCUGAAAGGGAAACGCUUGAAGUCAGUCGCGUUGACUUGAAAUCAACCCUGCUUUUGCUGGGUGUAUUUUCUUGUCAAUGGGUCAGCAUCAAUUUUGACCAUUGGAUAAAGUUAUUGGGAAUGUGGCAUCUUUGGAUGUGUUAUAGCCUAAUGAUGCAUACAGUGGUUGGGAUUGAGGAAUUCAGCACGCCAUAAGGCCGGGUUUCGACCACGUCCGUGCUUAGGAUGCUGGCAUAAUGGCUUUAAUCGACCCGUCUUGAAACACGGACCAAGGAGUCUAACAUGCCUGCAAGUGUUUGGGUGGAAAACCCAUGCGCGUAAUGAAAGUGAAAGUUGAGAUCCCUUUGGGGAGCAUCGACGCCCGGACCAGACCUUUUGUGACRGAUCUGCGGUAGAGCAUGUAUGUUGGGACCCGAAAGAUGGUGAACUAUGCCUGAAUAGGGUGAAGCCAGAGGAAACUCUGGUGGAGGCUCGUAGCGAUUCUGACGUGCAAAUCGAUCGUCAAAUUUGGGUAUAGGGGCGAAAGACUAAUCGAACCAUCUAGUAGCUGGUUCCUGCCG